rnacentral:sRNA from 1 species
UGCAUCUGAAGCCUGACGAGGAUGAGAACCUCCGGGGGCAAGAGGUUUGACUCGAGCGCAGCGAGAGAACGUUGCGUCAGCAACGGCCCGCAGGGCGAGCCACGCAGUGGCGAGUCAUCCUCUAUCACCGACCA